rnacentral:rRNA from 2 species
CCUGGCUCAGGACGAACGCUGGCGGCGUGCCUAAUACAUGCAAGUCGAGCGAAUCGAUGGGAGCUUGCUCCCUGAGAUUAGCGGCGGACGGGUGAGUAACACGUGGGCAACCUGCCUAUAAGACUGGGAUAACUUCGGGAAACCGGAGCUAAUACCGGAUACGUUCUUUUCUCGCAUGAGAGAAGAUGGAAAGACGGUUUACGCUGUCACUUAUAGAUGGGCCCGCGGCGCAUUAGCUAGUUGGUGAGGUAAUGGCUCACCAAGGCGACGAUGCGUAGCCGACCUGAGAGGGUGAUCGGCCACACUGGGACUGAGACACGGCCCAGACUCCUACGGGAGGCAGCAGUAGGGAAUCUUCCGCAAUGGACGAAAGUCUGACGGAGCAACGCCGCGUGAACGAAGAAGGCCUUCGGGUCGUAAAGUUCUGUUGUUAGGGAAGAACAAGUACCAGAGUAACUGCUGGUACCUUGACGGUACCUAACCAGAAAGCCACGGCUAACUACGUGCCAGCAGCCGCGGUAAUACGUAGGUGGCAAGCGUUGUCCGGAAUUAUUGGGCGUAAAGCGCGCGCAGGUGGUUCCUUAAGUCUGAUGUGAAAGCCCACGGCUCAACCGUGGAGGGUCAUUGGAAACUGGGGAACUUGAGUGCAGAAGAGGAAAGUGGAAUUCCAAGUGUAGCGGUGAAAUGCGUAGAGAUUUGGAGGAACACCAGUGGCGAAGGCGACUUUCNGG